UCUACUAAAGGAAAAUAG
rnacentral:tRNA from 1 species